rnacentral:misc_RNA from 1 species
AGAAUAUGUUGGCUUCUGUAUCAAAACAGUAUGGUGCAUAUCAAUUCUCUGGUAAUCUGGAGAAUCUUUUCAGGAACCAACAUGACAGAGGUCGAAGUUUGACUUUAGAAGAAGGAGAUGCUCAGGUUUUGCUUGAACUUUUUGUGCACAUGCAGGAAGAGAAUCCAAAGUUUUUUUAUGCUAUAGACUUAAACGAGGAGCAUCGAUUAAGAAAUGUUUUCUGGGUUGACGCCAAAGGCAUGGAUAGUUAUUCCAACUUUGGUGAUGUGGUGUCAUUUGAUACU